rnacentral:rRNA from 1 species
CAUGAUCUAGGUCAGGCAGGAUCACCCGCUGAGUUUAAGCAUAUCAAUAAGCGAAGGAAAAGAAACUUACCAAGAUUCCCCUAGUAACGACGAGCGAAUUGGAAAGAGCACAGCUUGAGAAUCGAGUACCCCUAACAUUCGAAUUAUAGUCUGGAGAAGCGUCCUCAGCGGCAGAGCAGGCGUAAGUCCCCUAGAAAAGGUCGUUGGAAAGGGUGAGAGCCUCGUUGUGCCUAGACCUUGUUGCACCAUAAAGUGCUAUCUGUGAGUCUGGUUGUUUGGGAAUGUAGCCCCAAUCAGGCGAUAAAUUACAUCCAAGGCUGAAUACGGAUGAGAGACUGAUAACAAACAAGUACCAUGAUGGGAAGAUGAAAAGGACUUUGAAAAGAGAGUUAAAGGGUGCUUGAAAUUGUCAGGAAAAAAGUGGAUAGGGGCCGAUGAUGCACCCCAAUCUGAUGCGGAAUGGCGAGAGCCAAUCUAUCGAUCGACUCAGGACGUGGACUGAUGCAGGUCGUAGCGGCGAUGACCCAAGCCUGGGCUUUCGAUGUGCCCAUGGAGAUGUCAUCACCGCGAUCAUGGAAUGCACACGCACCAUCUCGGUGUACCUCAACACCUGUGUGCUCUCAACGUCAGCCUGCAGGCUUCCCUUUUGGCAUGUCUUGAAACACGGACCAAGGAGUUUGACAUACGUGUGAGUCAAUGGGCUAGAAAACUCAUAAGACGCAAGGAAUAUGAUUGGUUAGAUCCCUCGCGGGUGCACCACCAACCGACCUUGAUCUUCUGAGAAGGGUUCGAGGGUGAGCAUGCCCAUCGAGACCCGAAAGAUGGUGAACUAUACCUGAGCGGGGUAAAGCUAAAGGAAACUCUAGUGGAGGCCCGCAGCGAUACUGAUGUGUAAAUCAUUCGUCUAACUUAGGCAUAGGGUCGAGAGACUAAUUGAACCGUCUAGUAUCUGGUUCCCUCUGAAGUUUCCCUCAGGAUAGUUGGAGCCCCCGGUGAGUUCUACCAGGUAAGCAAAUGAUUAGAGGCAUCGAGGGCACAAUGCCCUCGACCUAUUCUCAAACUUUAAAUAGGUUGUACGACACGAUUGCUUCAUUGAGUCACACCAUGGAAUCGAGAGCUCCAAGUGGGCCAUUUUUGGUAAGAAGAAUUGGUGAUGUGGGAUGAACCGAAAGCUAGGUUACGGUGCCCAACUACACGCUAACCCAAAACCCACAAUGGGUGUUGGUCGAUUAAGAUAGCAACGGUGGUCAUGGAAGUCGAAAUCCACUAAAAAGUGUGAAACAACUCACCUGUCGAAUCAACUAGCCUCGAAAAUGGAUGGCGCUUAAGCACGUGACCUAUACCUGAUCGUUGGGGCAAGGGCAGGCCUCGAUGAGUAGAAGGGCAUGACGGUCAUCGUAAAACCUAGGGUGUAAGCUCAAGUGGAGUGGCCAUCAGUGCAGAUCUUGGUGGUAGUAGCAAAUAUUCAAAUGAGAACUUUGAAUGCCGAAGAGGGGAAAGGUUCCAUGUGAAGGGCACUUGCACAUGGGUUAGUUGAUCCUAAGAGACAGGGGAAGCCCAUUCGACAGUGUGUCCCGUGCGAGCUUCGAAAGAGAAUCAGCUUAAAAUUUUAGAAUCGAGAUGCGGUGACUGACAGUAAUGUUAGAGAGUCCAAAAACAUUAGUAGGGGCCUCGAGAAGAGUUAUCUUUUUUGUUUAACAGCUCGCCUACCUUGGAAACCGCUCAGUCGAAGGUAGGGUCCAAUGAUCGAAAGAGCAUCGUAUGUCACGUGGUGUUUGGUGCACCCUCGAUGACCAUUGAAAAUCUAGAGGACCGAGUGCCAUCCACACCUGAUCAUACUCAUAAUCGAAUCAUGUCUCCAAGGUGAACAGCCUCUGGUCGAUGGAACAAUGUAGGCAAAAAAAGUCGGUGAAAUGGAUCUGUAACCUCGAGAAAAUGAUUGGCUCUGAGGGUUGGGCAUGGGGGUCCCAGUCUUGAACCCGUCAGCUACUGGUGCACUGCUUAAGCUAUUCUCAUGAUGAAAGGGGGUCACCGCGUGUCAGUCGAGGGACGGAUUGGGAACGGCUCCUUGAGGGCCUUCCCCGAGUGACUAACAGUCAACUCAAAACUAGUACGAACAAGGGGAAUCUGAAUGUUUAAUUAAAACAAAGCAUUGCAAUGGUCCCUGUGGAUGCUCACGCAAUGUGAUUUCUACCAGUGCUCUGAAUGUCAAAGUGAAGAAAUUUAAUCAAGCGCGAGUAAAUGGUGGGAGUAACUAUGACUCUCUUAAGGUAGCCAAAUGCCUCGUCAUCUAAUUAGUGAUGCACAUGAAUGGAUUAACGAGAUUCCCACUGUCCCUAUCUACUAUCCAGCAAACCAUAACCAAAGGAAUGGGCUUGGUAAAAUCAACAGGGAAAAAAGACCCUGUUGAGCUUGACUCUAGUCUGAUUUAGUGAAAUGACUUUAGAGGUGUAGGAUAAGUGGGAGCCCCUAGGCGAAAUUGCAAUACCACUACUUUUAACGUUAUUUUAUUUAUUUCAUGAAUUGGAGACAAGGCCCCUUCUUUUGGACCCAAGGUUGGCCUCAGUCGAUCGAUUCAAGAGGAACACAUUGUCAGGUGAAGAGUUUGGCUAGGGUGGCACAUCUAUUAAAAGAUAACACAGGUGUCCUAAGAUGAGCUCAAUGAGAAUAAAAAUCUCAUAUGAAACAAAAGGGUAAAAGCUCGUUUGAUUCUGAUUUCUAGUACGAAUACGAACCAUGAAAGCAUGGCCUAUCGAUCCUUUAGACCUUCGAGAUUUGAAGCUAGAGGUGUCAAAAAAGUUACCAUAGGGAUAACUGGCUUGUGCCAGCUAAGUGUUCAUACCGACGUUGCUUUUUGAUCCUUUGAUGUUGGCUCUUUCUAUCAUUAUGAAGUAGAAUUAUCCAAGUGUUGGAUUGUUCACCCACCAAUAGGGAAUGUGAGCUGGGUUUAGACUAUCAUGAGAUAGGUUAGUUUUACCUUACUGAUGGUGGCGUCACGAUAGUAAUUCAACAUAGUACGAGAGGAACCGUUGCUUCGCACAAUUGGUCAUCACGCUUGGUUGAAAAGCUAGUGGUGCGAAGCUACUGUGCACGAGAUUAUGACUGAAUGCCUCUAAGUCAAAAUUUAGGCAAAAAAUGACAUGCGCCCCUAUCGCCCGAUUGUCAACCCGUAGUAAGGGCCCAUGGCCCUGAAGGGGAUGUGUCGUAGGUGUAGCCCUCACAUUGGACGAGCCGCGUGAGCCUCUUUGAAGCUCAAUUCCCAUCGAGCAGUGGGUAGAAUCCUUUGCAGAUGACUUAAAUAUGUGAUGGGGUAUUGUAAGAGGCAGAAUGGCCUUGCUGCCAUGAUCCAUUGAGAUUCAGCCCUUUGUCGCUUCGAUUCAU